UACGAAGGGGGCUAGCGUUGCUCGGAAUCACUGGGCGUAAAGCGCACGUAGGCGGACUCUUAAGUCGGUGGUGAAAUCCUGGAGCUCAACUCUAGAACUGCCUUCGAUACUGGGAGUCUCGAGUCCGGGAGAGGUGAGUGGAACUGCGAGUGUAGAGGUGAAAUUCGUAGAUAUUCGCAAGAACACCAGUGGCGAAGGCGGCUCACUGGCCCGGUACUGACGCUGAGGUGCGAAAGCGUGGGGAGCAAACAGG
rnacentral:rRNA from 1 species